ACAAGCAGUGGAGUAUGUGGUUUAAUUCGAAGCAACGCAAGAACCUUACCAGGGCUUGACAUCCUACUAACGAAGCGAGAGAUGCAGUUAGGUGCCUUCGGGAAAGUAGAGACAGGUGGUGCAUGGUUGUCGUCAGCUCGUGUCGUGAGAUGUUGGGUUAAGUCCCGCAACGAGCGCAACCCUUACGUUUAGUUGCUACGAAAGAGCACUCUAGACGGACUGCCGUUGACAAAACGGAGGAAGGUGGGGACGACGUCAAAUCAUCAUGCCCCUUAUGUCCUGGGCUACACACGUACUACAAUGGCGGCUAACAGAGGGCAGCAAAAGCGCGAGCUUAAGCGAAUCCCAAAAAGCCGUCCCAGUUCGGAUUGCAGGCUGAAACUCGCCUGCAUGAAGUCGGAAUUGCUAGUAAUCGCGGAUCAUCAUGCCGCGGUGAAUACGUUCCCGGGCCUU
rnacentral:rRNA from 1 species